AUGCCGCGUGAGUGAUGAAGGCCUUAGGGUUGUAAAGCUCUUUUGUCCGGGACGAUAAUGACGGUACCGGAAGAAUAAGCCCCGGCUAACUUCGUGCCAGCAGCCGCGGUAAUACGAAGGGGGCUAGCGUUGCUCGGAAUCACUGGGCGUAAAGGGCGCGUAGGCGGCCGAUUAAGUCGGGGGUGAAAGCCUGUGGCUCAACCACAGAAUUGCCUUCGAUACUGGUUGGCUUGAGACCGGAAGAGGACAGCGGAACUGCGAGUGUAGAGGUGAAAUUCGUAGAUAUUCGCAAGAACACCAGUGGCGAAGGCGGCUGUCUGGUCCGGUUCUGACGCUGAGGCGCGAAAGCGUGGGGAGCAAACAGGAUUAGAUACCC
rnacentral:rRNA from 1 species